GACAGAGGGUGCAAACGUUGUUCGGAAUCAUUGGGCGUAAAGCGCGUGUAGGCGGUUCGGUAAGUCCGCUGUGAAAGUCGGGGGCUCAACCCUCGGAUGCCGGUGGAUACUGUCGGGCUAGAGUACGGAAGAGGCGAGUGGAAUUCCUGGUGUAGCGGUGAAAUGCGCAGAUAUCAGGAGGAACACCGGUGGCGAAGGCGGGAUCCUGGGCCAUUGCUGACACUGAGGCGCGAAAGCUGGGGGAGCAAACAGG
rnacentral:rRNA from 1 species